UGAGGGAUAUUGGUCAAUGGGGGAAACCCUGAACCAGCAAUGCCGCGUGAGGGAAGACGGUUUUCGGAUUGUAAACCUCUGUCCUCUGUGAAGAUAAUGACGGUAGCAGAGGAGGAAGCUCCGGCUAACUACGUGCCAGCAGCCGCGGUAAUACGUAGGGAGCGAGCGUUGUCCGGAAUUACUGGGUGUAAAGGGAGCGUAGGCGGGAAGGUAAGUUAGUGGUUAAAUCGUUCGGCUCAACCGGAUGUUGCCAUUAAAACUGCGGAGCUAGAGUACAGAUGAGGCAGGCGGAAUAAGUUAAGUAGCGGUGAAAUGCAUAGAUAUAACUUAGAACUCCGAUAGCGAAGGCAGCUUACCAAGCUGUAACUGACGCUGAUGCACGAGAGCGUGGGUAGCGAACA
rnacentral:rRNA from 1 species